CCUUUGUCUGCAGGAUAGGGACGCAACCUUCAGUAGCCUCGCGGGCCCCAGAGUUCCGGCAAGGGUCGCGCAGGCAUAAAGACUGUCGGAUCCCCCUGGAACUGCGUUUAGAAACAGAUGUGAUCUACAUGUGGGAGAGGGAGCCAGACCCUGGUGCUCUGGAACCGAAUGUCCCUUCCACUCAGGAAUUUCUCUCUCAGACAUCAUCUGGCUGUGUGCAAAGGUGAGUAUGAGCGACUCCAUAUCUUUCAGCUAGAUUAACAGAAAGCACUUAACUUCCCAUCCUUCAGAGCCCAACUAACUAGAUCUAUGACAGGCACAUGGAGUGGCCAAUGUGCAGAAGAAUUGAAGAAAACUGACACAAUCUCCUGUUUCCAAGACAGCAAAGAGAACUGCAAAAGAGUGUAUGAAUUUGGGAGCACAUGUUGUGCUGUAUGACUUAAUGUAUGUUUGAUUUGACAUCUGAAACAAUUGUGGUGGCAGAAACCACAGAUCUUCAGGAGAAAAUAAAUUCCUUUACAUUUCAU
rnacentral:lncRNA from 1 species